GCCUGGAACUCAGAGAUCUACCUGCCUCUGCCACCCAAGUGCUGGAAUUAAAGGAGCUAGAACAAAAAAGUCAGACUGCCUGGAGAGACCCUGUCUCAAACAAACAAGAACAAACAAAAGCCCAACAACAACGAAAGAAGAAGUUAGAUCGGAAGAAGGGCUGACAGGGAGGUGGAAAGCUUGGAGUCCUUCGCCCUGCUAGUGUGGGUGUCAAAUGAGCCAGCCGACAAGAGCUCUUCGAAGGCUUGUCACGGUGUCCCAGUGCUGUGGUGCUGCCUGGAAUCCAAGCGUUCAGGAGGUGGAGACAGGAGUCUCCUCACCAGCCAGGGCCUCGCCUGAUACUCUGUUUCCAAAAACAAAAACACCAACAAAGAACAAAACCAAAUCCAGAAAAACAAAUAAACAAAACCCAGGAUAAACUA